GACGAACGCUGGCGGCGUGCUUAACACAUGCAAGUCGAACGAAGUGGCGAACGGGUGAGUAACGCGUAAUCAACCUGCCCUUCAGAGGGGGACAACAGUUGGAAACGACUGCUAAUACCGCAUACUUCAGGAGGGGAUUGCGUCUGAUUAGCUAGUUGGCGGGGUAACGGCCCCCCAAGGCGAUGAUCAGUAGCCGGUCUGAGAGGAGGAACGGCAACAUUGGGACUGAGACACGGCCCAGACUCCUACGGGAGGCAGCAGUGGGGAAGCUUCCGCAAUGGACGAAAGUCUGACGGAGCAACGCCGCGUGAGUGAUGACGGCCUUCGGGUUGUAAAGCUCUGUUAAGCGGGACGCGGUACCGGAAGAGAAAGCCACGGCUAACUACGUGCCAGCAGCAGCGGUAAUUC
rnacentral:rRNA from 1 species